rnacentral:lncRNA from 1 species
GUCACUGGAAGAGGCUGAAUGUGGAGGUCUGUUCACUGGAAGAGGCUGAAUGUGGAGGUCUGUUCACUGGAAGAGGCUGAAUGUGGAGGUAUGGUCACUGGAAGAGGCUGAAUGUGGAGGUCUGGUCACUGGAAGAGGCUGAAUGUGGAGGUCUGGUCACUGGAAGAGGCUGAAUGUGGAGGUCUGGUCACUGGAAGAGGCUGAAUGUGGAGGUCUGGUCACUGGAAGAGGCUGAAUGUGGAGGUCUGGUCACUGGAAGAGGCUGAAUGUGGAGGUCUGUUCACUGGAAGAGGUUGAAUGUGGAGGUCUGGUCACUGGAAGAGGCUGAAUGUGGAGGUCUGUUCACUGGAAGAGGCUGAAUGUGGAGGUAUGGUCACUGGAAGAGGCUGAAUGUGGAGGUCUGGUCACUGGAAGAGGCUGAAUGUGGAG